rnacentral:rRNA from 1 species
UACAGAGGGGGCAAGCGUUGUUCGGAAUUACUGGCGUAAAGGGCGCGUAGGCGGCCAACUAAGUCAGACGUGAAAUCCCCAGGCUCAACCUGGGAACUGCGUCUGAUACUGGAUGGCUCGAGUUCGGGAGAGGGAAGUGGAAUUCCAGGUGUAGCGGUGAAAUGCGUAGAUAUCUGGAGGAACACCGGUGGCGAAGGCGGCAUCCUGGACCAAUACUGACGCUGAGGAGCGAAAGCCAGGGGAGCAAACGGG